rnacentral:rRNA from 1 species
GACGAACGCUGGCGGCGUGCUUAACACAUGCAAGUCGAACGGAAAGGCCCUGCUUGCAGGGUACUCGAGUGGCGAACGGGUGAGUAACACGUGGGUGAUCUGCCCUGCACUUCGGGAUAAGCCUGGGAAACUGGGUCUAAUACCGGAUAGGAGCCAUUUUUAGUGUGAUGGUUGGAAAGUUUUUUCGGUGUAGGAUGAGCUCGCGGCCUAUCAGCUUGUUGGUGGGGUAAUGGCCUACCAAGGCGGCGACGGGUAGCCGGCCUGAGAGGGUGGACGGCCACAUUGGGACUGAGAUACGGCCCAGACUCCUACGGGAGGCAGCAGUGGGGAAUAUUGCACAAUGGGCGCAAGCCUGAUGCAGCGACGCCGCGUGGGGGAUGACGGCCUUCGGGUUGUAAACCGCUUUCAGCAGGGGCGAAGCUUGUGGUGACGGUACCUGCAGAAGAAGCACCGGCUAACUACGUG